GAGGAUGAUGAUACGAAAUUGUCGCCCCAGUCUUAGGAUCCGCUCUCAUGACGGAUCUUUGCUGAUUGACAUACUUGUGAUCUGACUC